UACGAAGGGGGCUAGCGUUGUUCGGAAUUACUGGGCGUAAAGCGUGCGCAGGCGGUGAUGCGAGUUCGAUGUGAAAUCCCCGGGCUUAACCUGGGAACUGCAUUGGUGACUGCAUUGCUGGAGUAUGGCAGAGGGGGGUGGAAUUCCACGUGUAGCAGUGAAAUGCGUAGAGAUGUGGAGGAACACCGAUGGCGAAGGCAGCCCCCUGGGCCAAUACUGACGCUCAUGCACGAAAGCGUGGGGAGCAAACAGG
rnacentral:rRNA from 1 species